AUUGAACGCUGGCGGCAUGCCUUACACAUGCAAGUCGAACGGUAACAGGUCUUCGGAUGCUGACGAGUGGCGAACGGGUGAGUAAUACAUCGGAACGUGCCUAGUAGUGGGGGAUAACUACUCGAAAGAGUGGCUAAUACCGCAUGAGGUCUACGGAUGAAAGCAGGGGAUCGCAAGACCUUGUGCUACUAGAGCGGCCGAUGGCAGAUUAGGUAGUUGGUGGGAUAAAAGCUUACCAAGCCGACGAUCUGUAGCUGGUCUGAGAGGACGAUCAGCCACACUGGGACUGAGACACGGCCCAGACUCCUACGGGAGGCAGCAGUGGGGAAUUUUGGACAAUGGGCGAAAGCCUGAUCCAGCAAUGCCGCGUGCAGGAUGGAGGCCUCCGGGUUGUAAACUGCUUUUGUACGGAACGAAAAGCCCCGGGUUAAUACCCUGGGGUCAUGACGGUACCGUAAGAAUAAGCACCGGCUAACUACGUGCCAGCCGCCGCGGUAA
rnacentral:rRNA from 1 species